GAUGAACGCUGGCGGCGUGCCUAAUACAUGCAAGUCGAGCGAACAGACGAGGAGCUUGCUCCUCUGACGUUAGCGGCGGACGGGUGAGUAACACGUGGAUAACCUACCUAUAAGACUGGGAUAACUUCGGGAAACCGGAGCUAAUACCGGAUAAUAUAUUGAACCGCAUGGUUCAAUAGUUAAAGACGGUUUUGCUGUCACUUAUAGAUGGAUCCGCGCCGCAUUAGCUAGUUGGUAAGGUAACGGCUUACCAAGGCAACGAUGCGUAGCCGACCUGAGAGGGUGAUCGGCCACACUGGAACUGAGACACGGUCCAGACUCCUACGGGAGGCAGCAGUAGGGAAUCUUCCGCAAAGGGCGAAAGCCUGACGGAGCAACGCCGCGUGAGUGAUGAAGGUCUUCGGAUCGUAAAACUCUGUUAUUAGGGAAGAACAAAUGUGUAAGUAACUAUGCACGUCUUGACGGUACCUAAUCAGAAAGCCACGGCUAACUACGUG
rnacentral:rRNA from 1 species